UGAUGAUUCUAGUUUGUUUCUAUUUGUUUUCUUGUUUAUUGUUGCUUUGUUGUGGCCAUCAAUGGUCUCUUUAAGGUUUCCAGUGCAACUGUAACUAAUUUUGACAGGGUUUCGAUUAAACAAUUUAUGUAGUGUGUGAUUUUGUGGGAAUGCUUGAUCUAAAGCCUCGAGGAAAGUUUUCCUGACAUUGGUGGCAACACUCGUGCUGUACGGUGGAUAUAUUUGCUCAUCAUAUGCUGUACAUUGUGUGAUAUUUUCGCUAAGUUUCUACACAAACUGUAGUUAUUCAUGGUGAAAAAGACUGCAGGAGAGUGGAAAUGGUCUGCUUUUGCAUAGGUGGGACAGAAAGCAAAUUCCUGGAUCUUCCUGCAGCACUUGACACCUGAAAAAUUUCAGUGAGGUAAGAAUUGGAUAGCUGAGUGGUCAAGGCAAGGACACCGCAACGUACAGCCAUAUCGCCGCUGGUUCGAGCGGCACGCUCGUCUAUGGUUCUGGAACAUGUCUUCUUGGAUACGGACUAUCCAUAGGCCCAGUGUACACAAUUUG